AUGGCAGGCUUUGGAAGGAAGACACCUAGCACAGGGAGACAAAAGAUGCAUCCCUGUGCUGGCGGCAGCCCUCCACCAGCCAGGAACACCUGGGGGGUGACGUCCCUGGACGCCAGUCAUGUGGCAAGUGGCCCUUGGAGAAGUCACACUUGGCUCACAGCACUUCCACUCUUUGGGGUAGGGGUCUCGGCCUCACCCCACCUCUUUAGGGGGUCUGGGGAGGGUGCAUGGCCUCCACAGACCCACACAUCUGUCGCCUGCCUGCUCCUCUCCUGUCCACUGACUCAGUCACCAGCCUGCGGAGUGUCAAGAGUUCCACGGGUUUUGGGUAAACUGCGGUCGGAAAGCCUCAGCCAGGGGAGCCGUGCCAGGCUGGCCAUGCAGUGCCUGUUCUCUGAGUGGCGGCCGGUCCUGUUCCCAGCCAGAGUGUUCGGAGCUGGAAGGAAACUUGGAAACAUCUCGUCUGGUGAAGCCUGCUCUCAGGUUCAGUUUGAGAGCCGAGUCUGAAUGGCCCUGAGCACCAUCUCUGCCAAGAGCGUCAUCAGUGUGUCCGAGACUGAGCCGGAGGCCGCUGCCGUGCUCGGGUCUCAGCACCUCCCACCUGGGAACCAGAGAGCCUGAGAACUGAACCCCUGUCCCCAACCCAGCUGGUUGGGAGUCGUGUGGACAGCGGGGGGUCAGCAGGGAGGUGGGACAGGCUCAGAGAGUAUCAAGACAUUUGCCAGCAGAAUGUGGCUUCUUCAGCACUGUGGGUAUUUAAGAAAACAAGCCNGCUUCUGCAGAAGAUAAUUUCUUCUCAUGAAAGAAAACCUGACAAUAAAAUUAAACUUCUUUUCUAGGAACUGAUGCA
rnacentral:lncRNA from 1 species